GGACUGGGGGCCAAAGUGUCUGGGUCCACAGGGGCUGAGAACCACCGUGGCUUAGGGGAAUGGAAAACAUAGGUCCCUGAGGAAUGAGACUAAGGUUAGGUUUGACUGAGGACUGACCCCUGGUGUCCCUGGAUGGACACCUGAUUCUUGGCCCUGAACUUAAGUUAAAAGACUUAACUUUUUGUCUCAGGCUUGGGAGGGAAGGGAGUGGGCCUCUGUCACCUUCUUGGGCCACACAGAGGAAGGAGAUGAUGGGGAAACAGGAUAUGGCCUUGAGGGUGGAUGGAGGGGGGCUUGUAGCAGAGGCCACUUCCAGGCUUAGGCCUAGAGUCAUAGUUGUUGCUGAGGAGGAAGGCUCCUCCCUGUUGGGCUCGUUCAUCUAGUCUGGCCACCUGUGCUGCUCACCAAGACCUGCCUGCACCCGCCUAGGGGGAAGGGGGAGGGGGCAGAGUCCAGAGGGUGGAGUUGAUGGUCUGGUGUCUUGAUAAGGUUGGUGAGGAACCUGUUGGUUGAAGCCAGCUGAGCUGAAGGAAGAGGGUCUGCAUGCCCUGGGGCCAGGACUGAGGUUGGCUUGGGUGUAGUUGGGGCUGGUCUCAGCAGAAGGGUCCUGUGGGAAGAGGCACCCAUGGGUUGUUGUCCACUAUAGACUUACUCAAAUGUCAUAGCAUGCUCCCCUACCGUCUGGUCCAGGCUACUUCCUGAAGGGGAAGGUUGGAAGACCACUUUGGGGAUGUCUUUUUCUGGUCACCAUGGAAACCAAUUCACCCAUCUCAUCUGAUCACCAGAGCCAAGUUUCUCCUCAAUGAGGAAGGAGAGAGCACAAGGAAGUCUUCUAGCCUGGGAGACCCCACCUCUAACUUUUUUUCUUUUAGGUUUCCCCCCCCCAGGCACCAUGCUGGGCCUGUAGCAAUAUCUACCCCACUGAGGUCAGCUGCACCCCCACUGCUGGGGUGCAGGUUCCAAUGAGAGGGCACACCAAGCUCCAUCGGGUAAGAAGCGUGCCUUUAGCACCUGGCUUCCUCCAAGCGAAAUGAGGACAGGAGGGGAGCGGGCUGCUGUGGGGGCCCUGAACUGGCCUUGUGCAGCCGACCGUCUGCCUGCUCGGUAAAACCUCAUCAGCGGGGUCUGGUCUUUGGCGGUCCUGAGAGUUUGUGAGUGCACGGCUGGCCUCUUAGACGCGUCUCGCGUGGCUGGGGCACUGCGCGGAGGGGGUCCUCGGCCUCAAGCCCAGAGAGAGUUAAGUGGGUAUGAUUGAUGGAGUGGUUUUCUCAAGGGGCUCAAGAGGGAGGGGGUAGGUUAAAGUCCGCGAGUCUAAAGCCCGGAUGGAGGGGGCGGGGUUGGGCUUUGCCGGGAGUGCCCGGAUGGAGAGGGCGUGUCCUCGGCAGGAGCGAAAUUAACCCUUUUAAGAGCUGCUUGCUCGGUAUUGUGGAUCGGGUUGGGGGAGCCUGGAAUGUCUGCACCAGAAGUGUGUCGCUCUCCCAGCCUGUCUCUGGCCGCGUGCAUCUAUCUCUCUUUUGCCUUCGAGAAGUCUGUGGGUGUCUUGUCUUUGUGCCUGCCCGUGGUUGUCCCUUCCCCAGGGUUAGUGUGGACACCCGGAGUCGGGAGAGGGCUAUUUAUCCCAGGGCGAGAGUGAAGGUGAGAGUCGACUGAGAGCCGGCCGCCUCCGGCGGACCAGGAAACAGGUGUGCGUGCGGCAGCGGGGCUACCCCGCGCGGGGAGG
ensembl:lncRNA